AUACGUAGGGGGCGAGCGUUGUCCGGAAUGAUUGGGCGUAAAGGGCGCGUAGGCGGCCCGGUAAGUCUGGAGUGAAAGUCCUGUUUUUAAGAUGGGAAUUGCUUUGGAUACUGUCGGGCUUGAGUGCAGGAGAGGUAAGUGGAAUUCCCAGUGUAGCGGUGAAAUGCGUAGAGAUUGGGAGGAACACCAGUGGCGAAGGCGACUUACUGGACUGUAACUGACGCUGAGGCGCGAAAGUGUGGGGAGCAAACAGGAUUAGAUACCCUGGUAGUCCACACUGUAAACGAUGAAUGCUAGGUGUAGGGGGUAUCGACCCCUUCUGUGCCGCAGUCAACACAAUAAGCAUUCCGCCUAGGGAGUACGGCCGCAAGGUUGAAACUCAAAUGAAUUGACGGGG
rnacentral:rRNA from 1 species